AGAUAUAUUGACAUCCCCAGUACCUCCUAAUGAGACAGAAUCAUUACAGAGGUAAUCAGACUAAAAUGAAGUCAAUAGGCUGGGCUUUCAUCCAAGGUGACUAUACAAAGGGGAAAUGUGGACACGGGCACACACAGAGGGAGACACCACGCGGACAUCCUGGAGGAAUGUCAAAGCCUGCUGGCAAAGCACCAGAAGCUGGGGACAAGGCCUAGAACAGACCCUCCCUCACAGGCCUCAGGAGGAACCAACCCUGCCGACACCCUGACCUGAACUUCAGCCUUCAGAACCAAGAGACAAUGAAUGCCUGCCAUUGAAGCUACCGUCUUCAGCACUUUGUUAUCACAGCCCUAGCAAACUCACAGAGGAUAAGGCCCAGAGAGGCAGAGGAACUGCCCAAGGUCACACAGCUAGUAUAUUGUGGAGCCAAGAUUUAAACCCACAAUCUUAGCCACUAAUCUGGGGACAGUGCAGACUACUGAAUCCUUGGAUGGAAGACAGACUGAGACCCUAUCCAGCUGCUGCCCCAUCUCCAAGAGCCUCGCCCUGCUGGAAGUGCACUGCUAGUCUGGUUCAUCAGCCACUCUGCACAGGACCCCUGCCCAGGACCCAGGGUCUGCAUUUUAGGCCAUCCUUGCUGGAUAGGCCCAGAGCCCAGGGUCCC
rnacentral:lncRNA from 10 species